rnacentral:rRNA from 1 species
UGCGUAGGCGGAUUAAUAAGUCAGUGGUGAAAACCUGCAGCUUAACUGCAGACCUACCAUUGAUACUGUUAGUCUUGAGUACGGUCAAGGUAGGCGGAAUGUGUAAUGUAGCGGUGAAAUGCUUAGAUAUUACACAGAACACCGAUUGCGAAGGCAGCUUACUGGGCCAUUACUGACGCUGAGGCACGAAAGCGUGGGGAGCGAACAGGAUUAGAUACCCUGGUAGUCC